CCUACGGGAGGCAGCAGUCGAGAAUUAUUCACAAUGGGGGAAACCCUGAUGGUGCGACGCCGCGUGGGGGAAUGAAGGUCUUCGGAUUGUAAACCCCUGUCAUGUGGGAGCAAAUUAAAAAGAUCGUACCACACUAGGAAGCGACGGCUAACUCUGUGCCAGCAGCCGCGGUAAUCCAGAGGUCUCACGCGUUGUUCGGCAUCACUGGGCGUAAAGCGUGCGUAGGCUGUUUCGUAAGUCGUGUGUGAAAGGCGCGGGCUCAACCCGCGGACGGCACAUGAUACUGCGAGACUAGUGGAAUGGAGGGGGAACCGGAAGUCUCGGUGUAGCAGUGAAAUGCGUAGAUAUCGAGAGGAACACUCGUGGCGAAGGCGGGUUCCUGGACAUUAACUGACGCUGAGGCACGAAGGCCAGGGGAGCGAAAGGGAUUAGAUACCCCAGUAGUC
rnacentral:rRNA from 1 species